UACGAAGGGGGCUAGCGUUGUUUGGAAUUACUGGGCGUAAAGCGCACGUAGGCGGACUUUUAAGUCAGGGGUGAAAUCCCGGGGCUCAACCUCGGAACUGCCUUUGAUACUGGAAGUCUUGAGUAUGGAAGAGGUAAGUGGAAUUGCGAGUGUAGAGGUGAAAUUCGUAGAUAUUCGCAGGAACACCAGUGGCGAAGGCGGCUUACUGGUCCAUUACUGACGCUGAGGUGCGAAAGCGUGGGGAGCAAACAGG
rnacentral:rRNA from 1 species